GGUGGCGGGUCCGGGGGAAGUAGGGUGCAUGGGGGAUUUGUCAGCGGAGUCACCAUGGGAGAUCCUAGCGUCUGCACCGAUGAAUUCUUCACAGUCACCGUGGGUCCGCCAUGCGUCGCGGUCGGGGCUCGACACCACUCAGAUCAUGGUAGGAAGCUCUUCAUUAUGUUCCUCAUGUCCUCCCUUUCUCAUAAUGCUGUUGUAUCGAAGUUUGGGGCAUGGGGUCACUAGAUCGUCGAUCUCCAGCAAAGCUCCGUCGUUGGGAGGGUUUGCGCCACCGCAGGCGGCCGGUGGAUUGGAGAAGAUAAGCCGAUCGCCGUUGAUUCAAAACCAACGGUUGAGAUUAUACGAACCAUACCACUUCAAUCAGAUCAAUCUGAGCCCUUGGAUGGUAAACGAGCGGCUUGGAUUGCAUCGGGUCGAUGGAAUUGUGCGGGCCAUGGAUCGCCGAUCUAGCGGCCCAUAUAACCUAUCGAUUCAAUUGUUAAAAGAAAUCUAAUCUCGGCUGCAGGUAGUGAAUCCAACGGCCGGAGGCAACAGAUACCCCUUCGCUGCGGUGCAUUUGCAAAAGAACCCUCGAACUUCUAUGAAAUAAGCUCGCCGUCCAUAAUGGUUCAAAGAGUAUUACAGUCCGGUCCAUAAACUUACAUUUUUGCCCCCGUAGUUAAUAAAAAUACUAGUUGUCGUCCACGGGUUUGGGAAAUCUCAGAAAUUAAAAUCUAAAAUGAUUUUCGAUGUAAAAAUAAUUCUAGAAACCUUAGUCCUGUUGGGGGUAUGCUUCGUAGCCGAAGAUCCUAAAGGAAGGGAACACCUUCGGCAGAUCCUAUCGGAAGCAACGCCGAAGCUAUCACCUAUAAAGCUUCGACACAGUGAUAGAUCUCAAGACGAAGGAGUGAACCGACUUAAAGAUGAAAUGACUUAAAAGACCCGCGAUGUUUUGUGUCAUUAUUGUAGUCGAUUGUAAGGGGCAUAAAUGUAAUUUUACACAGGCUGCGCCCUGUGCCUAUAAAUAGAUGAACAGUACCCCUGUACUGUUCACGCAAUCUUGUAGCUGCUGACACAUUACGCUGGAGUUAUUGCUUUCUGCCAGGACGAAGGUAUAAAUGUACCUAAAUAUUAUGUUUUAAUAUUUGAAUUCAUAUAAC
rnacentral:lncRNA from 1 species